rnacentral:rRNA from 1 species
UUGAACGCUGGCGGAAUGCUUUACACAUGCAAGUCGAGCGGCAGCGCGGGGGCAACCCUGGCGGCGAGCGGCGAACGGGUGAGUAAUACAUCGGAACGUACCCAGUUGUGGGGGAUAGCCCGGCGAAAGCCGGAUUAAUACCGCAUAAGUCCUGAGGGAGAAAGCGGGGGACCGUAAGGCCUCGCGCGAUUGGAGCGGCCGAUGUUCGAUUAGCUAGUUGGCGGGGUAAAGGCCCACCAAGGCUACGAUCCGUAGCUGGUUUGAGAGAACGACCAGCCACACUGGGACUGAGACACGGCUCAGACUCCUACGGGAGGCAGCAGUGGGGAAUUUUGGACAAUGGGGGCAACCCUGAUCCAGCCAUGCCGCGUGAGUGAAGAAGGCCUUCGGGUUGUAAAGCUCUUUCGGCCGGAACGAAAUCGCGUACGUGAAUAACGUGCGUGGAUGACGGUACUGGAAGAAGAAGCACCGGCUAACUACGU